GACAAAAACAAUUUGUCUGUUCUGAAUGUGGCCAAAGAUUUGGCCAAAAGAGCCAACUGAAAUCACACUUGAUAAAUCAUACAGGACAAAAACACUUUGCCUGUUCUGAAUGUGGUCGAAGAUUUGGACAAAAGAGCACUCUGAACAGACACAUGAGAAUUCAUACAACUUCUGCCAGUGCUGCAGGUAAACGUCUGUCCUGUGCCAGCACUCAGCUGGAUAUCCCACCAGCUCACCAAAGUGCUGAUCCUGGACCUCAACAGCCUCAAAGGGCCAAAAUAAACUAGCUUAACUAGAACACUGUAAAUUGGUAUAUUGAGGAGGAGAAAAGGUUUUUUUUCUCUGCUUCGCUUCCUGAAGUUACGAGAAGUGGGGCAGACGAAAAACAGUAUUUGGGGAAAGGAUAAAAGAAAUGGAUCUACCAGCAGAGAAGAAAGAAGAUGCCACAAUUGCAAAACUACAACUGAUAGCCUCUCAGAUCC